rnacentral:lncRNA from 1 species
UCUUAUUAACACAGUGUGCCACUGUCCAGAUGAAGUGAUCCUCCCUGUCCGGUGGGUGCCUCCACAACCUACUACGACAGCACCAGAGACACUGCCCUCUUGGGGAAGCAACGGUGCCAGGGACGGAAUGGCUGUUUGAAGAUGAGGUUUCUCCUACGACUGUGCUGAUCCAAGAAAGAAACUUGAAGAAUGGGAGUGGGGCAACGAGCUCUGUGUUCCUGCUUUCUGGCACAUGCAAGGACCAGGAGUUGGGUUCUUCCUUCCCCAUUGUCCCUGCUCCUUGGGCUGUUCCUGCCACCGUCCAAGCAAAAGGCUCUGCAAGUCUCCUACUGUGACGGCCCUGAGGACUUUGUCUUCAGCAAUAAUCCUUUUUCCUUUCCUCAGGUAAAAAUGCUUAGGUUUAAGUGGUUACUUAAACGGGGUUGGUGACACAGUGCCAGUGAGGGGAAGAGUGCCAAAGGAAUCAGGGACAGACAACUUAGAGUGAGGACCAGAC